GAGGUAACGGCUCACCAAGGCGACGAUGCGUAGCCGACCUGAGAGGGUGAUCGGCCACACUGGGACUGAGACACGGCCCAGACUCCUACGGGAGGCAGCAGUAGGGAAUCUUCCGCAAUGGGCGAAAGCCUGACGGAGCAAUGCCGCGUGAGUGAUGAAGGUUUUCGGAUCGUAAAGCUCUGUUGCCAGGGAAGAACGCUUGGGAGAGUAACUGCUCUCAAGGUGACGGUACCUGAGAAGAAAGCCCCGGCUAACUACGUGCCAGCAGCCGCGGUAAUACGUAGGGGGCAAGCGUUGUCCGGAAUUAUUGGGCGUAAAGCGCGCGCAGGCGGUCAUUUAAGUCUGGUGUUUAAUCCCGGGGCUCAACCCCGGAUCGCACUGGAAACUGGGUGACUUGAGUGCAGAAGAGGAGAGUGGAAUUCCACGUGUAGCGGUGAAAUGCGUAGAUAUGUGGAGGAACACCAGUGGCGAAGGCGACUCUCUGGGCUGUAACUGA
rnacentral:rRNA from 1 species